rnacentral:lncRNA from 1 species
CACUCCAGUCUGGGUAACAACAGCGAAACUCCGUCUCAAAAACAAACACACACACAAAAAACCCCAGACAUCCAUCUCCGCCCCCAAGCCCAUUACCUUUCAGCCAAAGAUACUAUUGCCAAUGGUAGUAUUGUUGGAGCAGUUCACCUGCGGGACAGACUGAAUGUCUUUAGAAGCAGCCUGUGUGUGUGUGUGUGUGUGUGUGUGUGUGUGUGUGUGUGUGUGCACCACGGGACGCCAUCCUUUUCCGCGGAGCUGUCACAAAGGAUAGCACUUGGCAUCCUCACUCCUCACUUCCCAGGAGCACCGACUCCACAAAGUUCUGGUGCCUGUUUCUCCGGGAUCACUGCCAGGUGGGUAUACAGCCCCGGCCAGGAGGGCGCCGGCGGCCCCGGGAGCCUGGGAGACCAAGGACUACUUGCAUUCAUUUCUAGACCCCGGCUCCCCCCAAAAGCGCACGGUCCUUGGCGGGCUCCGCCCGGGCACGCGGAGGGUGGCGGGGGCACAGCGGUGCCUGGGUACGCGCGCGUGUUUGCACCGAGAGGGCGCCUGGCCGGCGGUGCCCACCUCUCUCUGGUGGCCUUGGUGGCUCCAAGCCGGGUAGGCCGGGGCCGCGACUCGGGCAGUGCCCUCCCUACUCCUGGCCGGGCCGGGAGCCGCGGGAGCAGGCGCAGCGCCCCUACAGCCCGCUUUUCCGCCUCCAUCUCCUCCGCCUCCUCCUCCUCCUUCCCCCAGCCACCCGCGCAGUCACAACCGGUUCAGACUGGCCGGGGUGCCCCGCAAAGAGAGACAAGGGAGAAAAAGACAACAGGAAAAACUCCGGGGAGGAGGAGGAGGAGAAAGAGAAGGUGGAGCCCAGAGAAGGGGGCCGGCUCGCCCGCUCCAUGUGGCCGCCGCCGCAGCGGGGGUCGGUGGGGGCAGAGGGCGGCGGCUCCCGGGUCGGCGCGUAGCGGGACCGAUCGUCCAAUACUCCGGCAGGAGCCAGGGCCGCGGCUGGCCGGGAUAAAUAGCCGCCCGGCCGCCAGUGAGUUGCAGGGGAGAGCGGCGGCUGCGGUCCCACCUCACCACCAGCCCGGCCGCCCUGGGCACUGCGCCGCGUGCUGA